CAGUAGCCGCGGUAAUACGAAGGGGGCUAGCGUUGUUCGGAAUUACUGGGCGUAAAGCGCACGUAGGCGGAUUUUUAAGUCAGGGGUGAAAUCCCGAGGCUCAACCUCGGAACUGCCUUUGAUACUGGAGAUCUUGAGUUCGGAAGAGGUUGGUGGAACAGCUAGUGUAGAGGUGAAAUUCGUAGAUAUUAGCUAGGACACCAGUGGCGAAGGCGGCCAACUGGUCCGAUACUGACGCUGAGGUGCGAAAGCGUGGGGAGCAAACAGGAUUAGAUACCCCUGUAGUCCCUGUCUCUUAUAC
rnacentral:rRNA from 1 species